rnacentral:rRNA from 1 species
UACAGAGGGGGCAAGCGUUGUUCGGAAUUACUGGGCGUAAAGGGCGCGUAGGCGGCCUGCUAAGUCGAACGUGAAAUCCCCGGGCUCAACCCGGGAACUGCGUCCGAUACUGGCAGGCUUGAAUUCGGGAGAGGGAUGCGGAAUUCCAGGUGUAGCGGUGAAAUGCGUAGAUAUCUGGAGGAACACCGGUGGCGAAGGCGGCAUCCUGGACCGAAAUUGACGCUGAGGCGCGAAAGCGAGGGGAGCAAACGGG